GAAUACUGAGGGUUUUUUUGUCUUUCAGCACUUUAAAGGUAUUGUUUCACUGUCUUCUGGCCUCCACGGUUUCUGAGAAGUCAGCCAUCAUUCACAUACAAUGUGAGUGCACUGCAAGAAGGUGGCCAUCUGCAAGCCAGGAAAAGGGUCCUUGCCAGAAACUGAACUGAUGGGCAUCUUGAUCUUGGACUUCCCAGCCUCCAGAACUGUGAGAAAAUAAAUGUCUUGUUUAAACCA